GUUCAAUUUUAUAUUUUAAACAGCAACUCCAGGAGAAGAAGGGUGUGAGAUUGGAAGCUGUAAACAUAGUUGCUGGCUGUUGAUCAGAUUAGUUUAAAAGUGAAGAAGACCUGAGCUAAUAUGAAGAUGAAAAUUGAGCGAAUUCACAGAAUUCGGAAGAGGUCAGAUGGGGACACACCAAAAUCAUUAUCAUACAGAUUCUGCAUUCAGUAAAUCACAAGGUGCAAAGCCCGAUUUGGCUAUCAGGAGAAGGAAGAUGGAAGAACAGCCAGAGCUGGCUCUGCAAGGAACCACUCCGACCUGGGGUAAGAAUGCUGGGUGAAAUUCUAGAUGAUCUGAAGCCUUACCACUGACUUGCUAUAUGAUUUGGGCCAAGCUAAUCUCUCUGAGCUGCAAAUCAUCUGGAAAGGUGAUAUUAACUUAUUUUACGUAAACCCCACAUUCUUAAAGGUAUACAAUAAGUUAAUGUU
rnacentral:lncRNA from 1 species